rnacentral:rRNA from 1 species
CCUACGGGAGGCAGCAGUGAGGAAUAUUGGGCAAUGGACGAGAGUCUGAACCAGCCAAGUAGCGUGAAGGAUGACUGCCCUAUGGGUUGUAAACUUCGUUUAUAUGGGAAUACAAUGGUCCACGUGUGGGGUUUUGUAUGUACCAUAUGAAUAAGGAUCGGCUAACUCUGUGCCAGCAGCCGCGGUAAUACGGAGGAUCCGAGAGUUAUCCGGGUUUGUUGGGUUUAGAGGUAGCGUAGGUGGAUUGUUAAGUCAGUUGUGAAAGUUUGCGGCUCAACCGUAAAAUUGCAGUUGAAACUGGCAGUCUUGAGUACAGUAGAGGUGGGCGGAAUUCGUGGUGUAGCGGUGAAAUGCUUAGAUAUCACGAAGAACUCCGAUUGCGAAGGCAGCUCACUGGACUGCAACUGACACUGAGGCUCGAAAGUGUGGGUAUCAAACAGGAUUAGAUACCCCUGUAGUC